ACGAAGUCAUGGCCACCAAAACCAAAAUCUAUCUCGUCAUGGAACUCGCCGCCGGUGGAGAGCUUUUCACCAGAAUCCGCCGUUUUGGCUGCAUUCAAGAAUCUGCCGCGCGUCGCUACUUCCAGCAGCUAGCCUCCGCGCUAACCUUCUGCCACCGAGAAGGAAUCGCUCACCGCGACGUGAAGCCGCAGAAUCUCCUCCUCGAUAAGCAAGGAAACCUCAAGGUCUCCGACUUCGGUUUAUCGGCUCUCCCGGAGCACCGUAGCAGCACCGGAUUGCUCCAAACAUCGUGCGGCACACCGGCUUACACAGCUCCGGAGGUGAUCGCUCAGAAGUCAUACGACGGAGCUAAGGCGGAUUCGUGGUCGUGCGGUGUCUUCCUCUUUGUUCUUCUCGCGGGUUACGUUCCUUUUGAGGAUUCAAACGUUGUUACCAUGUACCGGAAGAUCCAAGGGAGAGAUUACAAGUUCCCAAACUGGAUCUCGAAACCUGCUCGAUCCAUCAUCUACAAGUUGCUCGAUCCGAAUCCGGAAACGAGGAUGAGUAUCGAAGCUGUAACUGAAACCAAAUGGUUCAAGAAAUCCCUUGAAACCUCCGAGUUUAAAUCCAGUGUCUUGGAAUCGGAUGAUCGAUUGGGUAAAUUGACAAGUCAUACGAUCACAGCGUUUGAUUUGAUCUCGUUAUCUGCGGGAUUGGAUCUAUCGGGGCUGUUUGAGAGGAGGAAGAGGAAGGAGACCAGGUUUACUGCGACGGUUUCGGCGGAAGGAGUUGUGGAGAAGGCCAAGACGAUAGGGGAAAAGUUGGGGUUUAGAGUGGAGAAGAAGAAGGAGGCGAUGGCUUUGGGGUUGGGAAAAGGAAGAACGACGGUGAUGGUUGAGGCGGUGGAGCUGGUGGAAGGUUUGGUUGUGGCGGAGGUGAAGGUGGUGGAAGGUGAGGAGGAGGAAUCUUAUUGGUCGGAGCUUAUUGUAGAGUUUGAGGAGAUUGUGCUUUCAUGGCACAGUGACGUAUCUGUUAAAGUUGAAAGUGACUUAGCUUAACUUUGAAGAUUCAAUUUUGUAAAAGAAAUUUUAUGUAAAAUAUCAUAGAUUAGUUCAUUUUUAGAGUUAUCGAACCCUCAAAUUUUAAGAUUUUUUAGUUCUCCAUUCAAAUUUUCAAAUUCGAAGAUUUACUAGUCAAAACUACAAAACACUAUUUAAUUUUUAUUUUUAGUCUUAAUAAUUAUGUAACUUACAUAUAAUUUUACUAAUAUUGAUUUUAUAUCACUUUAAUCUUUAUAGUUAUAUUUCACUUAAAUAUUCAAAUAUAUACAUAUAUAUAUACAUAUUAUUAGUACAUUAAUUAUAUAGUUAUGUUAAAACUAAAUCAAAAUUAUUAAUAUAAAAUAACAUUAUGUAAGAUAAGAACAAUAUGUAUAUGUAAUUGAAUCAUUUUGUAACUUUUUCUUCUAGUUGAUAUACUUUCUCUUAAAAUUUAAAGAUUUGCUUGUUCGGUAAAACUAAAAUAUACAUAUAUGAGCUAUAAAUAUUGUGUUUUGAAUUGUUAGUGUGUAACUAUUAUUUAUUUACAAAAGUUUAGUACUUAUAAUUAUUAUUAGAUUAAAAUAUAAUAUAUAGAAAUAUUCAAAGAUAUACUUGAGAUGCAUUGUUGGAGUAAUCAACUUCAAAAAAUUUAUUUUGAAGAUUACUUGUUGUUGGAAACUUUUUUAGUUUAAAAAUAAAAUAAAAUAAAGAUUUGUAAAAUUUGACCUUAUUUUUAAUGGUAUAUAAGAAGAGGGGUUAAUGUAACUAGUAUCAACUUUUUAAUUAAUAUCUAAUCUAUUAAAACAGAGUCCUAUUUUUAUCUACCUAAGGAAAGUUCAUUUUAAAUUUUGGACUCUUUCGGUUUUCUUACUAGCCUACCUUAUAUAUUGGAUCUGUACAAAUUUGUUAUCGUAAUAACUAUAUACACGCUAGCUAAAUAAUAUAACCGGUUCACUUUAACUAAACCAACGUCUAAAAUACUGAAACCAUCCGAAAUUAACUGAUAUGUUAACCGGUUGACUUAAAUUAAACCAAACUCUAAUAUACUAAAACCAUCCGAACUUAGCCGAUAUAUCAUUUGCUAUUAUAAGAUCAAUAUAAUAACUCUAAUUGGACAUCAUGUUACAAUAUAUUAUCGUAACAGGUUCUCUUCAUCUCGCUACAUGCAAUAGAAAAUGUCAAAUUAUGAGUUAUUUGGUUCAUCUUUCACCAUACAGAACAUUCCAAUAGGUGAAGAAAUAAAUUUAAAACCACAAUACCACACUAUUAUCUGCAUACAAGCUACUCUCAUAUAGAGUUUUGAUCAUGUUCACCAUUUACAUUACAUAUGUUUAGUUUGAGCUAUUAAACCCAAAGAUUUAAUUAAACAUUUCCAUUCAUAUCAAUGGUCUAAUUCCAAUUUUAAAUAUAUUAGAUUAUUAUCUAUAAUAAAUCGUAGACUAAAAUAUUCUAAGCACAUCAAGAGGAGAAUUUAGCAAAUCUAAACUAACGUGUCUUGCAAACAAAAUCAUUUAUAUAUUAAUUGAGAAUCAUUUAAAAAAGUGUAACCUUAAUUUAUACUAAUUAAAAAGAGACUAUGCUUAGGUGUCACUUAAUUAAAAUGAUAACUUAGUUUAUGUGGCAGCUUAAGAAUCAAUUGAAAAAAAUAUUGGUCUAAAAUCCAAUUACUUGGAAAUAUUAUAUUAACCUAAAAUAUAAGAAACAUAUAUUCUUUCCUAAAAUAAAAGCUAUGAAAUUACCUAAUAUGAUUAACAUAUAUACGAAAAUUAAUGAUUAUUAAUAAUAAAGAUUUGAUAACAAUUUUUGCAUCAUUCUUCAUUUUUUUUUAUUUUAUAUUAUUAAAAAUUUAAAUAAUCACAUUAACCAUAAAAUAAAAAAAAAAUUAUAUUUUUUCAGAUAUGUUUUAUUUUGAAUUUUUUAAAACGACUUUAAAUUACAAAAAAAUAUUAAAAAUCCCUUUGAAAAUUUUGUGAUCAAUGACUUAAUUUUUUUUGUUAUAACAUGAUACAAAUGAUCAUAAAAUCGUAUAAAUGUGAAUUUUUAUUUAAUAGAUAUUCAUAUUAAAUAAUAUAUAUAUAUAUAUAUAUAUAAUAAUAUUAAUUUCUUUUAAAUUAAACUAUGUACCAUUUAAACAUACAUAAAUAUGUUAAUUUUGAAAUUUGCAUUGAAAGAGUAUUGGGACCUUAAUAUAUUAAUUUUGAAAUUUGCCUAGAACCAAUAUGAACCAUCAUCAUUUUCUUAAAUGGGCAUAGAACCAUUUUUAAUGAUUAACUAAAAGGAUCACGUACAUAGUAAAAUGUGUUUUUGUUUAAAAAUUAUUGCAUAUCCAAAAUCAAUAUGAACCAUCAUCAUCGUUUAUUUUUUUUUCACAAUAUAAAUAUAGGGUUGGACAAAAAAUUUGAAUCCAUAAAAAUCGAACCAAGGCCGAUCCAAAGAAUAAUACUGAACUUUAACAAAAAAUGGUUAGAUAUCUGAAUGGGUUCAAAAUAUUGGUAUCUAGAGAACAUGAACCGAACCCGAUCCAAACCUUAAGAUUUUAGGUAUCUGAAUAUGUCCGAACAAGAUUUAUAUACUUAAAUAUAUUUAUUAUUUUUAAAUUUAAUAUCUAAAAGAAUAUACAGAAUAUAUAAAACGUUUUUAAGUUGUCCAGAAAACUUGGAAAUAUAUACAAAUAGCUAUAAGUACAUGUUUAAAAUAACUAAACGAUACUUAUAAUACCUAAAAUACUUAAAAUAUCUAUUGAUUUCCAAACCAAAUAUUUAAGCUAAACCAAUUUUUAUGUUAAGUUUAAGUAUUUUGGCAUACAUUAUUCAAAUUUAUAUGUUAUAUAAUAUUUUUAUUUUUAGAUUUUGAAAACUUUAAAGUAUAUAUGAACUUUAAUUUUUGAAAAAAAUUAAAUAGGUUAUCCAAAGUCAAACUCAAACCAAACCCGCAAAAAUCCGAACCAAACUAAACCCUCAAGGAUCUGAAUGGAACCAAAUGGUACUUAAUGUCCAGCUCUAAUCAAAUGUAAAAAAAGUUAUUGAUAACAAAAUGUAUAUUGUUUAUAAUAUUUAAUUACAAUAUAUUUUAAAAAAAAAAUCAUUCCGCGCAAGGCGCGGAGUAUCAUCUAGUUAUUAUUAAAUGCUAAGACGUGUAACACUUGUGCGGACUUAUAUAUAUAUAUACCAAACAAACUUGAUUUUUAAAAAUAGCUUAUUUUAUUUAAAUCUUAGUUAUUAAAUUAAAUAAAAUAUUAAAUUGAUAUUAGAAAUUAUCAAAGUUCAAUAUCUAUAUUAACAAUUGUUGAAUUAAAUUCCCUUUUUUAUUUCAUAAAAUUUUAUGUUUAUAUAUGUCGGUGUAAAUGAUACAUGAAAUUCUACAUUAACACACAAAAUAUCUGGCACAACAUUAGAGACAUUUCCAUUACAUCUGCUCCAAUGAAACAAAAGUUGACGACCACCAUCAAGAUCGUCCUCACAAUGAUGAACUUUCAUCAUUAAGCUAUGACACCCAAGAAAAUAUCACUUUGGAGUGGUUUCAACAGAAUUAAUCUUGUAAAACUUAACCCCAUUUCUCAUAUAGAAAAUAUAAAACUUUAUAUAAACUAAAUACAAUUUCAACCCACAUUUCUAGCUAUAACCAAAAAAAAAAUCUAACAAGCACAACAUACAUCAUUCGAUAUAUUUAAUCCAUGAAUAGAUUUUAUUGGAUCAAAAUAUUCUUUGCUAAUAUCCAAACCAUCAUUAAACAAUUUUUAUUAGAAAUCUUAAUGGUGUUGAAGGCAUUAGAAACAUUCACAACUCCUAAAACAACAACAAAAUAAAAACAACUAAUAAACAUUAUAUAUUGUCAACAAUUUAUAUCUUAGAAACUAUGAUAUAUAUAAAACUACAGAUUAAUACAUAUGUAUUCUCGCACACAAACAAACAAAGGAACACAUAAAACAGACGAUGCCCCAUUAGAUUUAAAGAAAUCAGAUAUUUGCUUAACUUACCGAGGCCACAACAUACAUGUUAAACGCAUACCACUGAAUAUUAAAACUUCAAAUCAAUCUCAUGCCAAAAAAUAACACAAUUUAAAAUUAAGCGCUCAAUAAAACAUAUUUUAUGUCAUGAAUAGUUAAUUCUAAAUUAAAUAUAUAUAUGCUAAAAUUGGUUUAAUACUAAUAAACCAUAUAUACCUAGAUAAGCCUAACUAUGAAAUUUUCGCUUAAAUUUUGUUAAUAUCCAUUAAUUAAUAUCCAUUAAUUAUCCUGAACAGAAUGACAAUAUACAUAAAGAUCGUUUAAGUUUACUAUUACUAAAAUAAAUAUAAGAACAUUAAUUAAUGAUAUUAUCGAUAGAAUUUUCUAAUAUCCAUUAAUUAUCCUAAAUAAUAGUUUGUGUCAAUAUUUCCUGAAAUAACUAAAAUAGUUUAUUAAAACAAAUGGAGAACAUGACAAAUCAGUCAUUUCUUAAAUAAUAGUGGUAGAAUUUGUUAUAUUCAUUAAUUAUCUCAAAUAUUUGUUCGGUAUCAUUAUAUCCUAAAUUCACUAAAAUUGUUUGUCAAAAGUAGACUCGGCCUAAAAUUAUGGAAAACAUGAUAAUUCAGUUAAAUUAUUUUUUAAAUAACAGUAUUGAUAUAUUCAGAUAAAAGAAACAAAAAACAUAAACUGGACAAAAUAAAAGACGUUUUAACCUAUACUAGGAGAUUGUCCCUCCGUGUUAUUGCUGACACCUCUGCUUCUUUCACCGAGGCCUUAGCAUCAUGGCGGUAGCUUCAGCCUCCUCAAACUUAUCCGGCCAAGUGUAGCUACUCUGGUGGAAACUAACAAGUGAGCUGUGGGAAUGUGACCCAUAUUGAUCCAUUGUUAACAUUACCAGGGCCGUUUUAGUCAUCAAGGACAAUCUCUUGUAACUGUUUUGGCAUGCUGUGAGACCUUUCAAACCAAAGAUACCACAAUAUAACAAUCAUCCCCCCCCCACAGUUCUCUAGCGGAGGUUCACCUGAGAAGACUUAUAACAUGAUCACAUUGAAGAGACUCUGAUGCUUAAUUGUGAUGUCUAUUUUGCACCACGACAAAACCGGAAACGAGAGAGCGAGUGUCCAAUACCAGUUGUACCUAAAAUGCAUAUGAUGACUAACAAUCUACAUCAUAGAUAACAUACAAAGAGAAGUCUUUUCACACUCUCGGCUCAUUGGAAAGGCAACAUGGAUAUCAAAACUGCAGCCAAAGAGAGAAUUCUGAAGAAAGAAAUUUUUUUUGCCAACAAAAAUUUAAACUAUUACGAACUAGUUAUCAACUAAGUCCAAACUAGUGUAAAUUUUCAACAUAGUACGCAACAGAAGGAGAACGUUGAGAAUCAUGCGAUAAUUUAUCCGCUAUUGUGUUUCUUGCUCUAGGAAUAUGUUGGAUUUAAAAGUGAGAGAAGAAUUUCUUACAUAGUUGAGUCUCCUCCAUUUGGGGUGCGAAUGCUGGCUAUUUUGUCGGUAUAUACACUAUCUUCACCAACUGAGAAUAUUCAGUAGCAAAUCUCACCUCCGAGAACUGUAGGGCCGUCAUGCACUCCAUGACCCAAAUAAAAGCUUCACAUUCUGCAUGUAAAGAUGUCUAACUGGGAAAUUCAUUGACCCAAUAAUCUUGUCAUUUGAAACUCUUGUGCACGAAAACCAUCCUUGUCAUGAAAACUUAUCUUGUGAACUCAGAUGAUCCAUCUACAUAACACCAUCACAUAUCUCCUUCUUGUUGUCCCGUUUGCGAGCAAUAUGUAUCAUCUAGAUUUUUUAACAUUGUUAAUUUGUGCUUUAGUUGACUGUUUUCUCUUUAUUUCUGCUAGACGCAAGAUCUCUUAUGGGUUUCCAUUUUUGUUUUUUAUAGUUCUAGUCAUUUCUAUUUUUCCAAAUGUACCAUAAAAUCCAUAGAAAAUAAUUGAAAUCAUGAUCUUUAGGAAGUUUCCAAAACAAAUAAUCCAUGUUCACGAAUAUCAAUGAUACUGGAAAAACUCAUGGAUUAGAUGAAAUUUGUGACAUCACCCAUAUUUGAAUUGUUGUGGACAUUCAAAUAAGAUGUGAUUAAUUGAUUUCUCAUCUGCUCCACAUAUACUGAAUUCAUCUUGACUUUAAAGCCUUAGUAAUUGGUAAAUAUCAUGAUAAUGCUUGCCAAACAAAAUGUUUAAAUUUUGGACAGAAUUGAAGCUUCCAAGUGUACACCAAAAAUGGUUUAGUUUUUGGACCAUAAUACUAUGUGUUUGUAUACAUAUCCAGGUACAAUUUUCUGUUUUAUAUCUUGAUUUCACUGUAUAAAACAGAAAAUUGUAGCCAUACUUUGAAUGAUUUGAAUGGAUGACAUUAUAUAAUACUUUGAAUGAUGUCAUCCAUAUGUAUCUAGUUUAGAAGUUCGACUCAUAGCCAUACUUUGAAUGAUUUUCACAUAUUUGUAUUUAUUACGACUUUGUAUUUUCUCAUCUCUUACAGGCUACGAACCAUUGUCCAUUGGUAAAGCUUUGUUUGAUUAUACAUACUUGAUAGAUGAGUUUGCAAGUAAAACUGCAAGAAGAGCUAUAUUUCAAAAAUAAUGUAAUAUUAUGUUUGUUUUUUGAUAUUGUUUGAUAUUAUUAUUUUAAGUUAUUUUUACAUUGAGUUGCUGGGGCCAAUUUUUUUUUUUGGACAACAGGGGCCAAUUUUUUUUCCCUCGCUUCUAGUCUUGUAAAUGUCAGGCACGGCCCUGACGUCAUGACACAAACGUAGUCUGAGUGUCCAAAAUCAGCUUUGGAAGUCCUUCAGUCUCUCACAAAGUACCUUCAAAGUAAUUUUAUUUAAACUAAAUGGCCGUAGCUCCAUCAUAUGAUUUGGCCUAACCUUUUUUAGAAAUCAAAUAAAUAUUAGUUAUAUUUAAUCUUUUAUCAAAUGAUUUCGAGUGUAGAAAAAUGUUAACUAUAACAACAACAUCUACUUCAAUGACUGACCACGAUUGUUGGAAAAAGGCUAUCAUGCCAUCCGAAUCUGCCGCGCGUCGCUACUUCCAGCAGCUAGCCUCCGCGCUAACCUUCUGCCACCGAGAAGGAAUCGCUCACCGCGACGUGAAGCCGCAGAAUCUCCUCCUCGAUAAGCAAGGAAACCUCAAGGUCUCCGACUUCGGUUUAUCGGCUCUCCCGGAGCACCGUAGCAGCACCGGAUUGCUCCAAACAUC
rnacentral:lncRNA from 1 species